ACUACCCUGACAUCAUCCACAUACAGAAACCAUACUACCCUGACAUCAUCCACGUACAGAAAGGUAAUGUCCUCAUACUACCCUGACAUCCUCCACGUACAGAAUAGGUAAUGUCCUCAUACUACCCUGACAUCAUCCACAUACAGAAACCAUACUACCCUGACAUCAUCCACGUACAGAAAGGUAAUGUCCUCAUACUACCCUGACAUCAUCCACGUACAGAAAGGUAAUGUCCUCACACUACCCUGACAUCAUCCACGUACAGAAAGGUAAUGUCCUCAUACUACCCUGACAUCAUCCACGGUACAGAAUAGGUAAUGUCCUCAUACUACCCUGACAUCA